GGCGCCAGCGGAGGACAUGUGGUUUAUUCGAUGAUACGCGAGGAAACCUUACCCGGGCUUAAAUUGCAAAUGAAUAUAGUGGAAACAUUAUAGCCGCAAGGCAUUUGUGAAGGUGCUGCAUGGUUGUCGUCAGCUCGUGCCGUGAGGUGUCGGCUUAAGUGCCAUAACGAGCGCAACCCUUAUCUUUAGUUACUAACAGGUCAUGCUGAGGACUCUAGAGAGACUGCCGUCGUAAGAUGUGAGGAAGGUGGGGAUGACGUCAAAUCAGCACGGCCCUUACGUCCGGGGCUACACACGUGUUACAAUGGGGGGUACAGAAGGCAGCUACACAGCGAUGUGAUGCUAAUCCCAAAAGCCUCUCUCAGUUCGGAUUGGAGUCUGCAACCCGACUCCAUGAAGCUGGAUUCGCUAGUAAUCGCGCAUCAGCCACGGCGCGGUGAAUACGUUCCCGGGCCUUGUACACACCGCCCGU
rnacentral:rRNA from 1 species